UAAUGCAGUCGAGCGAAUGGAUUAAAGCUUGCUCUUAUGAAGUUACCGGCGGACGGGUGAGUAACACGUGGGUAACCUGCCCAUAAGACUGGGAUAACUCCGGGAAACCGGGGCUAAUACCGGAUAACAUUUUGAACCGCAUGGUUCGAAAUUGAAAGGCGGCUUCGGCUGUCACUUAUGGAUGGACCCGCGUCGCAUUAGCUAGUUGGUGAGGUAACGGCUCACCAAGGCAACGAUGCGUACCCGACCUGAGAGGGUGAUCGGCCACACUGGGACUGAGACACGGCCCAGACUCCUACGGGAGGCAGCAGUAGGGAAUCUUCCGCAAUGGACGAAAGUCUGACGGAGCAACGCCGCGUGAGUGAUGAAGGCUUUCGGGUCGUAAAACUCUGUUGUUAGGGAAGAACAAGUGCUAGUUGAAUAAGCUGGCACCUUGACGGUACCUAACCAGAAAGCCACGGCUAACUACGUGCCAGCAGCCGCGGUAAUACGUAGGUGGCAAGCGUUAUCCGGAAUUAUUGGGCGUAAAGCGCGCGCAGGUGGUUUCUUAAGUCUGAUGUGAAAGCCCACGGCUCACCCGUGGAGGGUCAUUGGAAACUGGGAGACUUGAGUGCAGAAGAGAAAGUGCAAUUCCAUGUGUAGCGGUGAAAUGCGUAGAGAUAUGGAGGAACACCAGUGGCGAAGGCGACCUUUCUGUUCUGUAACUGA
rnacentral:rRNA from 1 species